rnacentral:rRNA from 1 species
AUAUCAGUCAUGCAUAGCAUAUCAAUAAGCGGAGGAAAAGAAACUAACAAGGAUUCCCUUAGUAACGGCGAGUGAAGCGGGAAGAGCUCAAAUUUGAAAUCUUCAAGGUUUUACCUUGACGAAUUGUAGUUUAAAGAAGUGUUUUCUGUUGAAGUUUUGGUAAAAGUUCUUUGGAAUAGGACAUCAUAGAGGGUGAGAAUCCCGUAUUUGACCAUUACUUUCAGCUUUGUGAUACACUUUCAAAGAGUCGGAUUGUUUGGGAAUGCAGUCCAAAAUGGGUGGUAAAUUUCAUCUAAAGCUAAAUAUUGGCGAGAGACCGAUAGCGAACAAGUACCGUGAGGGAAAGAUGAAAAGAACUUUGAAAAGAGAGUUAAACAGUACGUGAAAUUGUCAAAAGGGAAGCGUUUGACACCAGUGUUGUUUUCUCGAAAAUCAAUUAAAAAGAGUUGGAUUUUGUGUUGUAUUGACUUUAUCAGCUUUCUUCACUCUUUUCCAGCUUUUUUUAAUGCACUUUUCGUUUAACAAGUCAACAUCAGUUUCUUUCGUUGUAAAAAGGUCAUUGGAAGGUGGCUUUCUCUUCGGAGAAAGUGUUUAUAGCCUUUGACUCAUGCAAUCGGAGAGACUGAGGUCUGCAGCGUAGAUCCUUCGGGGUUAGAUACAUUUGUGCUAAGUUAUAGCUUUUCAUAGACAACUUGUUGACUAUGUUUAGUCUUGUAGCUUACUCGCUUAUGCUAUUUUACCUACGCUUAGGAUGUUGAACUCUAUCACACACAG